rnacentral:tRNA from 1 species
GCGCCUGUAGCUCAGCUGGAUAGAGUAUCGGUUUCCGAAGCCGGUGGUCGUGGGUUCGAAUCCCGCCAGGCGCGCCA